UGAACCUGAUUAAGACAUUUUGGCGAUGCACCUUAGAAGAUGAGCAAGGUGAUAUGUCACUUCCGACCACCAUCUUUGUUUGGCAGAAAAAGUGACCUACCUACUGGGUAAAGGGAACGGUCAAAAACGUCUGCAUUAUGCAGCCCACUGAUUUUUUUUCUUCAGUUGGACAACGUUAGUCAUUGAGGUAUCGCGAAAAUAUCUUAAAAACACCGGUAAGUACUGCCAGAUGACACGUUUGGUUUGUAUUUAUGAGAAAAAGCCCCGUGACAGAUGAAGAAGUCUCACAUCUAUAAACGGUGAAAGAGCCUAUAACAGAUGUGAAGGCAGUCAGAAGGCUGUAGAAGAGUCACCACCCUCCACCACUACUUUUACCUGCAUGUGAGUUGAUACAAAAUUAAGCAUGAUCAUAAUAAUCUGGGAUGCACUGUAUGUAGUGAACCUCCUGUGAGAUCUUUAGCAGUUUAUAUUCAAAAUCACAUGUAUAUGAAUA